rnacentral:rRNA from 1 species
GACGAACGCUGGCGGCGUGCUUAACACAUGCAAGUCGAACGCUGAAGCUCAGCUUGCUGGGUGGCUGAGUGGCGAACGGGUGAGUAACACGUGAGUAACCUGCCCUCUUCUUUGGGAUAACGCCCGGAAACGGGUGCUAAUACUGGAUAUUCACUGAUUCUCGCAUGGGGGUUGGUGGAAAGGUUUUUUCUGGUGGGGGAUGGGCUCGCGGCCUAUCAGCUUGUUGGUGGGGUGAUGGCCUACCAAGGCUUUGACGGGUAGCCGGCCUGAGAGGGUGACCGGUGACAUUGGGACUGAGAUACGGCCCAGACUCCUACGGGAGGCAGCAGUGGGGAAUAUUGCACAAUGGGCGAAAGCCUGAUGCAGCGACGCCGCGUGAGGGAUGGAGGCCUUCGGGUUGUAAACCUCUUUCGCUCAUGGUCAAGCCGCAGCUUUGGGUUGUGGUGAGGGUAGUGGGUAAAGAAGCGCCGGCUAACUACGUG